UUCUUUCAGGUUCAGGAAGCAAAGGAGCUGCUCCAAAAUUAGGGGCACAAAGGACUAAUCGAACAUUGUCUACUGAAUUACAAAAGAAAUGCAUAUACAAAAGCAGACUUGCAAUGCACAAAUGCAUAUACAAAAGAGAUUGGCUCUGCAGUUGGUGGUACUUAUUUUGGCUCAUGAAUUGGAGGUAGUAGAGGAUGCAGAAUGCAAGUUUAUUUGAAGCCAAGUUUCAUUCAAGGUCAUUGAGUUGGGUUGAUAGAAGUAAUGUUUUGUAUAUGACAAUAUCGAACAAAUAUGUAAAGUUUUCGAAAUGUUGAUACAUAUAUGGUAAAAUGUUAAUAUAUGUUAAAGUUUUG